rnacentral:rRNA from 1 species
GGAUGCGCGUGCUUACCAUGCAAGUCGAACGGUGAAGCAGAGCUUGCUCUGUGGAUCAGUGGCGAACGGGUGAGUAACACGUGAGCAACCUGCCCCUGACUCUGGGAUAAGCGCUGGAAACGGCGUCUAAUACUGGAUAUGAGCUGCGACCGCAUGGUCAGCAGUUGGAAAGAUUUUUCGGUCUGGGAUGGGCUCACGGCCUAUCAGCUUGUUGGUGAGGUAAUGGCUCACCAAGGCGUCGACGGGUAGCCGGCCUGAGAGGGUGACCGGCCACACUGGGACUGAGACACGGCCCAGACUCCUACGGGAGGCAGCAGUGGGGAAUAUUGCACAAUGGGCGAAAGCCUGAUGCAGCAACGCCGCGUGAGGGAUGACGGCCUUCGGGUUGUAAACCUCUUUUAGCAGGGAAGAAGCGAAAGUGACGGUACCUGCAGAAAAAGCGCCGGCUAACUACGUGCCAGCAGCCGCGGUAAUACGUAGGGCGCAAGCGUUAUCCGGAAUUAUUGGGCGUAAAGAGCUCGUAGGCGGUUUGUCGCGUCUGCUGUGAAAUCCCGAGGCUCAACCUCGGGUCUGCAGUGGGUACGGGCAGACUAGAGUGCGGUAGGGGAGAUUGGAAUUCCUGGUGUAGCGGUGGAAUGCGCAGAUAUCAGGAGGAACACCGAUGGCGAAGGCAGAUCUCUGGGCCGUUACUGACGCUGAGGAGCGAAAGGGUGGGGAGCAAACAGGCUUAGAUACCCUGGUAGUCCACCCCGUAAACGUUGGGAACUAGUUGUGGGGUCCAUUCCACGGAUUCCGUGACGCAGCUAACGCAUUAAGUUCCCCGCCUGGGGAGUACGGCCGCAAGGCUAAAACUCAAAGGAAUUGACGGGGACCCGCACAAGCGGCGGAGCAUGCGGAUUAAUUCGAUGCAACGCGAAGAACCUUACCAAGGCUUGACAUAUACGAGAACGGGCCAGAAAUGGUCAACUCUUUGGACACUCGUAAACAGGUGGUGCAUGGUUGUCGUCAGCUCGUGUCGUGAGAUGUUGGGUUAAGUCCCGCAACGAGCGCAACCCUCGUUCUAUGUUGCCAGCACGUAAUGGUGGGAACUCAUGGGAUACUGCCGGGGUCAACUCGGAGGAAGGUGGGGAUGACGUCAAAUCAUCAUGCCCCUUAUGUCUUGGGCUUCACGCAUGCUACAAUGGCCGGUACAAAGGGCUGCAAUACCGUGAGGUGGAGCGAAUCCCAAAAAGCCGGUCCCAGUUCGGAUUGAGGUCUGCAACUCGACCUCAUGAAGUCGGAGUCGCUAGUAAUCGCAGAUCAGCAACGCUGCGGUGAAUACGUUCCCGGGUCUUGUACACACCGCCCGUCAAGUCAUGAAAGUCGGUAACACCUGAAGCCGGUGGCCCAACCCUUGUGGAGGGAGCCGUCGAAGUGGAUGAGCCU